CCAUUUUCUGUAUACCACCCCUACCUUGUCACAACGCAACUGAUUGGCUCAAACGCAUUAAGGAGGAAAUAAAUUACACAAACUUAUCUUUAACAAGGCACACCUGUUAAUUGAAAUGCAUUCCAGGUGACGACCUCAUGAAGCUGGUUGAGAGAAUGCCAAGAGUGUGCAAAGCUGUCAAGGUGGCUACUUUAAAGAAUCUCAAAUAUAUUUUGAUUUGUGUAACACUUAUCUAUCAUCGUCAUAAGGGUUAGGCUUCAGGCUUAGGCUACAUUACUUAUCAACAGCAGCAGGCUUAGCUAUUAUUUUUAGGAAACAUGACAUUUCACAGAUAAACAGACACCUAAUGAGAUACCUAGCUAUUUAGUUAUCUAGCUAAUUAUAGCUAUUGGGAUCAUAGCUAGCUACAUUUUGCUGGUAAAAUAGAGCAAUCCUACAGCAGCAUUAUCUGGCUGGCUAGCUACAUAUCGAAUCACUAGCCAGUUCGUUUUAGCCCAAUGACAAAUGCUUUUCAAUUUUAUGUUGUACAGCUUUCAAAGAAAACAUAAAGACAAGAGAAGAGCUAAAUCAAGCAGGCUAGCUAACUACCUUGUCUCAUUUUGGCUAAACCAAUUUCUGGUGUUCUAUUCAUAUGUAGUUCUAAUAACCAAUUUCUAUGUUCUUGCAAGUGGCUGACUGUACAAAUCACACCUAUCAGGAGCUGCAAUUUGGCAGGACGCCCAGAUGUUGUUUUGAGAACAAACGACCGUGUUUUGAGAACAAUCAAAAGAUCUCAGUUUCAAGGUCUCAGCUUAGAAAGGAGAAGCCGUGAGGUGUUGGUCUGUCACAUGUUAUGAAACAACACGGUAAUGAUACAUUAAUUAUGCUAAAUCAUGCAAAUACAACUUCUGUGUAUAACCGUAUAUAAGACAACUGCUGGGACUGUCCCAGGGGAGCUUCUGACAGACAUGUGUACUAUGGUGCAUUGAGUUGGUUGGAACCUCUCCAGCGCACUGACAAUAAACAAUGAUUCAUUUAAGAUUGACUUCGAGUGUCCCUGUGUAAGAAUAUUUCUGCCUGCGGAGCUUUCCAGUUGGGGUCUGCGAGGAAAACCGGAGGCGCAUUUUAUGAAGCGUGAGGGAAAUUCCUGUCCGACCAAAAGAGGACGAGGACCAGUCCAGAUCCUUACUGUGAGCUGCCCAGGAGGAGACACAUCACCCACGAACAAUUGAGGGACGGCAACUGAUUUCACAAAUCUCACCAGAUUGGGUCUGCUGGAUGGUGGAGUUUUCUCCCUGAGGAUUAGCCCUCUGACUCCUUGACCUGUAACUCUUCAUUGAGAUCGCCGAGAUGAUAGGGGAGUAUAAGCCAAUUUGGGGGGGGAUGGUUUCAACUGUGUGGUGUUAUUCUCUAAGACAUUUGUCUUAGAAGUCUGGAUUUCCUGAAUUACAAAUGCCCUAAACUAAACUGUUGUUCUGGUCUGGAGGUAAUGGCGGAGAUUGUAUCUAGAUGCAUGGAAAAUAAUUUGGCCGAUGAACAGUGUGAUCCUCAACACCCCCUUUAACCGGCUGAAAUUGGUGAAAAUGGUGUCCAGUAUGGUCCUUCACCACUUCUACCGUGAGACCUGAGUCCAAGCCAGCAACCUGUACACAGCAGUCGACGCGCUAUCAACUGCCUUUUCUCCCAUGUUUUUUCUCUCAGGAGCGACAUGUGGUGCACGUGAGCAUGGAGAGAGAUCCAGUCCAAACUUCUCUCAUGCUGCUGGUGUACUGGUAGGAAAAUGGACAAAGACAUAAUGAACUGUAAAGGACAGUGGCGGCUCAGGUGAGAGACACUAUCAAGGGCCAUCCACUUUGAACAUGUGCCAUUAAAAAGACAAACUGAAACACUAUCUGAAGAAGAACAUGAAGAAACGUCAGGAAAGGAAGAAUGAGUGCCCGUAAUUGAUUUAUAGGCUUGUCCAAAAUGGUUUAUUUGGGGUAUUGGGUGGAUUGUGGAGGUUUGCACACUGCAAAAUGUUGUGAUUUAGACUAACAAUGCAUUGAAAUACCAAUCUGUCAUUACCACGAGUGAUGAGAAAAGUGAGGGUCUUAAAUUAAAGUGACAGAACCAACGUGACGCACUAAAGACUGUCAUUCUAAAUUUGGGUUGGAUAAUAUAUCAAUAAUUAUGAUUCUGAUUUGGAAAGGCAAAACUUCUAGAGACAGAACUGUGCCCUAAAAACGUGAGGAGAGACACUAGAUUGUUACAAGGUUAGCCCAAGCUACAAUCUCAUUCUUAGCAAGGUUGGUGUGAAACUGUUAUAAUGUGAUCUCUUUCUCUUCCCUGUGAAAUGUUAUUAACAUGCGAUGUGCCUCUCUGGCUGAUAAGAUUUCAGCAGCCAUCUUGUUUACUACUCCUCCAGAGGAUGGUGAAACAGUUAGAUGCCAACUCUGGAUGAGCCCCCCCAUUUCCUCCGGUUCUUUUCCUUUUAGCAAGUUGAGAGUAAGGUCAUCUAAACCCUUAACCUAUGUGGACACCACACUAUGUGGAACACUGAGAUGAUGAGCAAGUUAAACAACUGGGUUUUAUGUUUUGACUAGGUGGAUGUCCCAGGGACAGUUAGUGAAAACAUAGGUCAAUGCAACCCAAGUGUGGAAAGAAAUAUGGAAACAAUGGUUAACAUCAAGAUAUUUAUUCACCUCUGAAUCUACAGAUCCGUUGUGUAUUUUGGAUACUCACUCCCAUUAAUAAAGUAUAACCUUUAUUAUGAUUAUAGUAUUACCAUACUAAGUGGAUUGUACAACGCAGAAUGAAGGGUUUGAAAUGAUGAAGUGUCCGUUUUGUUUUUGUGUUGAUUUCCCUUACUUUCAUGGAGUAUAGAAUAUUUUGAUAUAGAAGCUAAAAUGUAAAUGCUUACAUUAAAAUUGAAUGGUUAUCACACAAGAGGUAAGAUAAGAGGAUAAGAGGAUGGAAUGUAAUGGCAAUUUUAAUGUUUGCUUUUCUUACAACCAAUUUCUGUGUUCUAUUCAUGUGCUGUUCUCAUAACAAUUUUCUGUGUUCUUGCAAGUGGCUGACUGACAAAUCACACCUAUCAGUAGCUGCAAUUUGGCAGUACGCCCAAAUGUUAUUUUGAGAUCAAUCAACCGUGUUUUGAGAACAAAUGAAAGAUAUCUCAGUUUCAAGAUCUCAGCUUAGAGUGGAGAAGCCUCGUGAGGUGUUGGUCUGUCACAUGUUAUGAAACAGUAUUGGUCGGUCACAUGAAUGAAACAACAUGGUAAUGAUUAAUUGAUUAUGCUAAAUCAUGCAAAUAUAACUUGUCUGUGUAGCCGUACAGAAAACUGCUGGGACUGUCCCAGGGGAGCUUCUGACAGACGUGUACUAUGGUGCAUUGAGUUGGUUGGAACCUUUCCAGAAACGCUGACAAUAAACAAUGAUUCAUUUAAGAUUGA